rnacentral:tRNA from 1 species
GAUUAAUUAGUUUAAGGAAAAAAAAUAUUAAUUUUGUAAAUUAAAGAUUAAGAAUUAUUAUUAAUCU